rnacentral:rRNA from 1 species
UACGUAGGUGGCAAGCGUUGUCCGGAUUUACUGGGCGUAAAGAGCGUGUAGGCGGCCAGGUAGGUCUGCUGUGAAAACUCGAGGCUCAACCUCGAGACGCCGAUGGAAACCAUCUGACUAGAGUCCGGAAGAGGAGAGUGGAAUUCCUGGUGUAGCGGUGAAAUGCGCAGAUAUCAGGAAGAACACCCGUGGCUAAGGCGGCUCUCUAGUACGUGACUGACGCUGAGACGCGAAAGCGUGGGGAGCGAACAGG